rnacentral:rRNA from 1 species
GACGAACGCUGGCGGCGUGCCUAAUACAUGCAAGUCGAACGCUGAAGGAGGAGCUUGCUUCUCUGGAUGAGUUGCGAACGGGUGAGUAACGCGUAGGUAACCUGCCUGGUAGCGGGGGAUAACUAUUGGAAACGAUAGCUAAUACCGCAUAAUAGUAGGUGUUGCAUGACAUUUGCGUGAAAGGGGCAAUUGCGUCACUACCAGAUGGACCUGCGUUGUAUUAGCUAGUUGGGGGGGUAACGGCUCACCAAGGCGACGAUACAUAGCCGACCUGAGAGGGUGAUGGGCCACACUGGGACUGAGACACGGGCCAGACUCCUACGGGAGGCAGCAGUAGGGAAUCUUCGGAAAUGGACGGAAGGCUGACCGAGCAACGCCGCGGGAGGGAAGAAGGGUGUCGGAGCGUAAAGCUCGGUUGUAAGAGAAGAACGAGUGUGAGAGUGGAAAGUUCACACUGUGACGGUAUCUGACCAGAAAGGGACGGCUAACUACGUG